rnacentral:rRNA from 1 species
UGGGGGAGUAUUGCACAAUGGGGGAAAGACCCUGAUGCAGCGACGCCGCGUGAGCGAUGAAGUAUUUCGGUAUGUAAAGCUCUAUCAGCAGGGAAGAAGAUGACGGUACCUGACUAAGAAGCCCCGGCUAACUACGUGCCAGCAGCCGCGGUAAUACGUAGGGGGCAAGCGUUAUCCGGAUUUACUGGGUGUAAAGGUAGCGUAGACGGCGAUGCAAGCCUGGAGUGAAAGGCGGGGGCUCAACCCCGGCACUGCUUUGGGAACUGCAUGGCUAGAGUGUCGGAGAGGCAGGCGGAAUUCCUAGUGUAGCGGUGAAAUGCGUAGAUAUUAGGAGGAACACCAGUGGCGAAGGCGACUUACUGGACUGUAACUGACGUUGAGGCACGAAAGUGUGGGGAGCAAACAGGAUUAGAUACCC